rnacentral:rRNA from 1 species
UACGGGCGUUGUCGACAGGUGGUCUGCGAUGGCGUGUCGUCAGCUCGUGUCGUGAGAUGUUCGGUUAAGUCCGCUAACGAGCGCAACCCUCGCUGUGUGUUAUAUGUGUCACACGGGACUGCCGGUUUUAAGCCGGAGGAAGGUGAGGAUGACGUCAAGUCAGCAUGGCCUUUAUAUCUUGGGCUACACACACGCUACAAUGGGCGGAACAAUAGGUUGCCAAACCGCGAGGUGGAGCCAAUCCUUAAAUCCGUCCUCAGUUCAGAUUGCAGGCUGCAACCCGCCUGCAUGAAGAUGGAGUUGUUAGUAAACGCAGGUCAGCUAUACUGCGUUGAAUACGUUCCCGGGCCUU